UUUGUGGGGUCCAGUCCCCUAUCCCAUAUUUUAAGAAAGGAAGAUUUUUCUUCCUUUGACAAAUUAUACAUUGGCAACAAUUGUGGACUUGGCUAACAAGCCAAUUUCUUUGUUCACAUUUUCAUGAUGUAAGCGCUUACCUCAUCAUAAUCGUGAUGUAAGCGCUUACCUCACCAUAGGAAAUUCAUUUCUAUAAAUAGGCAGCUUAUGGUUCAUUUGUAACACACCAAAAUCUCAGACAAUACAUCUGAGUGAGAGCAAAGUGAGGUAUUCCAUAGACUGUAAGAAAAUAGUCUGUGAAGAAAAAUAGAGUGUGAGUGAUAUUGUAGUGAGGUGGGAAAAAUCAAAAGAGUGUUUUUCUUUUUGAGUGUGUAGUGGUCUUUGGAGUAUUUAUAGUCGUGACUACACAAUGUAAAAUUCUUUACUAUAGUGAUAUCAGCUGCUCCUCUUGGCCGUGGUUUUUCCCUUAUUCAGAAGGGUUUCCACGUAAAAUCUUGGUGUCAUUAUUGCUGCAUUUUAUUCUUGCUGAUUUAACCAUAACUUAGUGUUCCGCGUUUAUCACUAAUACCGUGAAUAUUAUUUUUACGGGUCUAUUUUAUUCCCAACAGUUUCAUCACUCUCAACAUAUCUCAACCUAAGAAAAACAUUCUGUACAACCUGGAUCAGACAAGCAAGUUCGUCUGCUUGGCUUUAUUUUGGUUAUUAUGGUUCCACUUGGAAUGUUUUGAACCGCAGUUCUUCACAUUUUAUCAAUGUGUUGCAAUUAUACGCUUAACGUUGUUUGGCUGGCGGGCUAGUUAUGCUGAGAUUAUAUCAUAUGGAUUGUUUAUAGUGAUAAUACCGUAAAGAUUGUCCAGCAACAACUUACUCCUACCAUUGAAGGCAGAGAGGCUGCUCCGAAAGACCCUCGGCUCAACUAAAACGUUGUUUCAAAAGUCCCUCAGCUCAAGUAGUUGCGUCUGCCUGGAGUCGAACCCGGGUCUAUUCCUUGGAAGGCAAUUAUCCUAACCGUUGGACUACAAACGCUCUCUGCAAGGAUUGUCCCUUAUGCAAAAAUCUGUUAUCUUCAAGAUCUGUUCUUGUUUUUCCACAUAUUUCUAAUACACAUAUUAUUACUGCUCA